rnacentral:rRNA from 1 species
UACGGAGGGUGCAAGCGUUGUCCGGGUUUAUUGGGUUUAAAGGGUGCGUAGGCUGGUUAUUAAGUCAGUGGUGAAAGUCUGCGGCUCAACCGCUGGAGUGCCAUUGAUACUGGUAGUCUUGAGUACAGUAGAGGUAGGAGGAAUUUAUGGUGUAGCGGUGAAAUGCAUAGAUACCAUAAAGAACACCGAUAGCGUAGGCAGCUUACUAUGCUGUAACUGACGCUGAGGCACGAACGCGUGGGGAUCGAACAGG